UACGAAGGUCCCAAGCGUUAUCCGGAUUUAUUGGGUUUAAAGGGUGCGUAGGCGGGCUAUUAAGUCAGCGGUGAAAGCCCCAAGCUUAACUUGGGAACUGCCAUUGAUACUGAUGGUCUUGAGUACAUUUGAGGUGGGCGGAAUGUGUCAUGUAGCGGUGAAAUGCUUAGAUAUGACACAGAACACCGAUUGCGAAGGCAGCUCACUAAACUGUAACUGACGCUGAGGCACGAAAGCGUGGGGAGCAAACAGG
rnacentral:rRNA from 1 species